AAGGGUUUAGCUUAAUUAAAGURUCUGUUUUGCGUGCAGGUGAUGUAAGUUURUNCUUGCAAUCCUUA
rnacentral:tRNA from 1 species